rnacentral:rRNA from 1 species
GACGAACGCUGGUGGCGUGCUUAACACAUGCAAGUCGAACGAAGAGCGAUGGAAGCUUGCUUCUAUCAAUCUUAGUGGCGAACGGGUGAGUAACGCGUAAUCAACCUGCCCUUCAGAGGGGGACAACAGUUGGAAACGACUGCUAAUACCGCAUACGAUCCAAUCUCGGCAUCGGGACUGGAUGAAAGGUGGCCUCUAUUUAUAAGCUAUCACUGAAGGAGGGGAUUGCGUCUGAUUAGCUAGUUGGAGGGGUAACGGCCCACCAAGGCGAUGAUCAGUAGCCGGUCUGAGAGGAUGAACGGCCACAUUGGGACUGAGACACGGCCCAGACUCCUACGGGAGGCAGCAGUGGGGAAUCUUCCGCAAUGGACGAAAGUCUGACGGAGCAACGCCGCGUGAGUGAUGACGGCCUUCGGGUUGUAAAGCUCUGUUAAUCGGGACGAAUGGUUCUUGUGCGAAUAGUGCGAGGAUUUGACGGUACCGGAAGAGAAAGCCACGGCUAACUACGUG